AGAGACUGAAAGAAGCUCUAUACUGCAAUCUUGCAGGUCAAGCCUUAUACUGUCCACAGAAAUCCAGGAGUUCUAGCAAGAGAUGAUGGCAUAUCCAAACCGUAUGGGAUCUCUUCAUGCAAGACAAAGCAAAGAUUACCACAAGUGGGUUAGCUCCAAAGGCACUGAAAGAUGGUACAUGCAAAGAAGGAUGCAGGAGAAAAAUGUACCAGGAAAACCAUUGCUUGACUAUCAACAGCAUCUCCACAGUUUGCUGGGCUCCGAGGAAGCCUCAUACUUCUUGCAUCCUCCACCAGCCAAGGAAAAGCCAAUGAGCCCCCGAGUCAAGCGCCUGCUGUUGGUCAGUCUAGGUCUGGGUGCUGAGGAAGUCUGGAAGGCUCUGCACGAAGAACCAAAGCGCCGACGUGAAGUUGCAGCUGCUAAGAAGGGCCUCUUGCUUUCUCAGCAGGUACCUUGGCUGGGACGUCCUGCUACGACACACCGGCUGCAGCAAGUGGCUCAUUGGCGAAAACAGCUGCAUGAAAUGCACCACAUUGGGAAGCAGAACCAGCGUACAGCAAGCCACCUCCUGGCAAGCAAACACCUCAUGGACCUCAGUGACACUUACGGAAAAGAAGGACCAACCCGAUAUUUCAUAUUCAAUUAAAAUCCAUUAUUAUUUCAUUUCAGCUAUUGAAAAAG
rnacentral:lncRNA from 11 species